UCUCCCAGCUCAGAGGUACGGACACUACCAGGCGGUUUCGAAGCUUUUCACUUUGCAGUGUUUUUGUGAUCCCACGAUAACAUUGACAAUAUUGUGGAUGUUAGCAGGAGACUCCAACAGAUGGGUGACCAACUAAAUGAUAAUUAUGACCAAAAUGUGCAAUUCAUCCAGCGUGCUCUUGUCGCCAUUGAUGAACUAGCUCAGCGAGAAAGCAUUAUACUAAUUGCCAACAUGGUACGCAACCUGGUUCCAGCCAUUGGAAUUCCAGCUGUUCAACUUCAGCCACAGAGACCCGUGUCACUCUGGAGGAUUGUGAUCAGAAUGGGAGUCAUCAUUCUGGAAGAAUUGCUGAAUACAUAGGAGCCCCUCAACUGCCCAGUAUCACUGCACCUCUAUCUGUGAAAAGAGAUAAAUAAUUAUGAACAAUGCAUUUCAGGUUAAUUGAUAAUCUGUAAUUAACUUGCAGUGUCUGCAUUGUGGUUAAUAACUCAAGUUAAAUACCGAGUUCUGAACAUUCACAAAACUUGAGAGUGACAUUUAAAGUGAGUUAGAAGGUUUUUAUAAUUUGGGAUUGUGAACUCUCUAGCAAUUGUCUGGUUGUAUCGACUUUGAAAAGUUUCUGUUAAACUUUAAAGCAAUUUUCUUAAGUUUAUCACGGUGUUCACAAGUUACAAAAGGAGAAAGAAAUAUCUGACUUAACUUCGAUGUUUUGCUCAGUGUAAAUGGAGAGUACAGUUCUUGGAAUCAAACAGAACCAAAAACAGGAAAGGGGAGAAAAAACUUUUGUAAAAAUAAAUAUUUUAAAUGAAUUUGUAGGCCAUGCAGUGUUUCACGAGUUGAAUUCAUACCACAACGACAGCAUCAAAGCACUGAAGCUGGAUUUCACACCAAUGCUGCAAUUGUAAUGUAAAUUGCAAGGACCAAAGCAGAAUUAAUCUGAAAGCAAUUUGAUCUUUCCAUUCCACUAAAAUCCAGUGUUUCUGUUGACUGAUUUGUUCUGUUUACA